GCAGGUGAAUGCAACGUUGAGCGAUGAACGUUGUGCUCCAUAAUUGUAGUUUUUCUCAUGUUGAGUUUUUAUACAGAAUAAUAAAUCACUGUAAUGCCGAUGUUAUCUCAGACAUCGGUUUUU
rnacentral:sRNA from 2 species